rnacentral:lncRNA from 1 species
CUUAUAGUAGUCAUGGAACACAAGGAGGCGGGCUGCCAGCAACCCGAGGGCCCAAUCCUAUGCAUCAACAACUGUGGCUUCUUUGGCAGUGCGGCCACCAUGAACAUGUGCUCCAAGUGCCACAAGGAGAUGAUAAUGAAGCAGGAGCAGGCCCAGCUAGCUGCCUCCUCCAUCGAUAGCAUUGUUAACGGUGGUGAUGGUGGGAAAGGGCCUGUCAUAGCUGCAACCGCCGCGGUGGCGGUUGCUCAAGUUGAGGAGAAGGCAAUUGUUGUGCAGCCUCCACUUGUAGCUGAAACCAGUGAGGCUGCUGCUGUAAUCCCCAAGGCCAAGGAAGGCCCGAACCGGUGCGCAACCUGUAGGAAGCGGGUUGGCCUGACGGGAUUCAACUGCCGAUGCGGUAACAUGUACUGUGCGGUGCACCGUUACUCCGACAAACAUGAAUGCCACUUUGACUAUCGGACUGCAGCUAGGGAUGCGAUUGCCAAGGCCAAUCCUGUGGUGAAGGCGGAGAAGCUCGACAAGAUCUGAGAGGGGCAAUGGGGAGGGGGAUGGGUUGUGAUCUGCAAGAUUCAAUCAUGCAUCUUUGCUGCUUUAUCAUUGAACUUCCCAUUCUUGUUUGCUGCCACAUCCCUGAGUUGUUCAACACUGAGAU